rnacentral:pre_miRNA from 1 species
UUUAUAUGGCACCGUUGGCUUUUAUAGUUACGUUUGACCAUUCGUCUUAUUCAAAAAAAUUAUAGAAUUAUUAAUUAUUUUGUUAUAAUUUGAUUUAUUAUUAUAGAAACUUUAAGUAUGACUUAUAAUUUUGCAUAUUUGAACAAUUUUUUUAAUAAGACGAACGGUCAAACGUAGAUCCAAAAGUCAGCGGCGUCAUAUAAA